UUAAUUGAAGAGUUUGAUCAUGGCUCAGAUUGAACGCUGGCGGCAGGCCUAACACAUGCAAGUCGAGCGGUAACAGAAAAGAAGCUUGCUUCUUUUGCUGACGAGCGGCGGACGGGUGAGUAAUGCCUGGGAAUAUACCCUGAUGUGGGGGAUAACUAUUGGAAACGAUAGCUAAUACCGCAUAAUCUCUUCGGAGCAAAGAGGGGGACCUUCGGGCCUCUCGCGUCAGGAUUAGCCCAGGUGGGAUUAGCUAGUUGGUGGGGUAAUGGCUCACCAAGGCGACGAUCCCUAGCUGGUCUGAGAGGAUGAUCAGCCACACUGGAACUGAGACACGGUCCAGACUCCUACGGGAGGCAGCAGUGGGGAAUAUUGCACAAUGGGGGAAACCCUGAUGCAGCCAUGCCGCGUGUAUGAAGAAGGCCUUCGGGUUGUAAAGUACUUUCAGUUGUGAGGAAGGCGUUG
rnacentral:rRNA from 1 species